CUUCGUUGCCGGAGAAGAAUCCUAGUACAUUAUCGUAUCCUUUGAAUGCGUCUAUAGUAGCAAAUAAAUGUUGCAGAUAAACUUUGUUGUAAGAUAGAGCAGGAUGAGCACGAGAUAUUGAAUGCCUAUAGGUGUUCAAAUCCAAGAUCACAUAAAUGCCUGCUUCACUUAACGCAUUCAUACACUUGUCAUGGUCGGCUGAAUUAUCGACUUGGUAAACUCGAACCGUAUUAAUUCCGAGCUUCUUGAAUAUCUCAACAUCUUUCUUACAAGAUCUGGAUGCUAAUGGGUCAACCAAAGACGAGGAACCGCCGGGUUGAUAAUCAACACCUCUUAUGUAGAAACGCUCGUUAGUCUUAGAAUCGAAAAAGGCAUU